rnacentral:rRNA from 1 species
GAUGAACGCUGGCGGCGUGCCUAAUACAUGCAAGUCGUACGGAAAGGCCCUUCGGGGUACUCGAGUGGCGGACGGCUGAGUAACGCGUGGGAACGUGCCCCAAAGUGAGGGAUAACGCACCGAAAGGGGUGCUAAUACCGCAUAGGGUCUUCGGAUUAAAGCUUCGGCGCUUUGGGAGCGGCCCGCGUACGAUUAGAUAGUUGGUGAGGUAAUGGCUCACCAAGUCGACGAUCGUUAGCUGGUCUGAGAGGAUGAUCAGCCAGACUGGGACUGAGACACGGCCCAGACUCCUACGGGAGGCAGCAGUAAGGAAUCUUCCAUAAUGGGGGCAACCCUGAUGGAGCAACGCCGCGUGCAGGAUGAAGGUUUUCGGAUCGUAAACUGCUUUUAUAAGUGAAGAAUAUGACGGUAACUUAUGAAUAAGGAUCGGCUAACUACGUGCCAGCAGCCGCGGUAA